GCCCCGCAAAUCCGGCCAUCUCGGGCGGAUUGAAAAUCCGCGUGUCACUGGUUCGAUUCCGGUCCCGGGCACCA
rnacentral:tRNA from 1 species